GCUCUGUUCUGCAGCUAGGAAGAGAUGAAUUUAUAUAAUGAUAAAAAUUAUAAUAAGUGCUAAGGAUAAAAUAUUUAAUCAUGUAAAUGUUAACACCUAUUAUUUAUCAUUAUUUUGCUAACAUUAGGCUAAGUUAAUUUGUACUUAGAUCGCACUUUUGUGCUCUCAUCAAUCUUUAUAACUUAAGGAAUGAUUUGAUGACCAUAGACAUGAAAUCCUAUAUCCAAUAUAAGCUAAUCAUCAAAAUCAAUGAAUUAUAGGGGAGUAUCA
rnacentral:lncRNA from 1 species